GGGGAAUUUGGGACAAUGGGCGCAAGCCUGAUCCAGCCAUUCCGCGUGCAGGAUGAAGGCCCUCGGGCUGUAAACUGCGUUUGGACGGAACGAAAAGCCGCUUUCUAAUACAGAGCGGUCAUGACGGUACCGUCAGAAGAAGCACCGGCGAACUACGUGCCAGCAGCCGCGGUAAUACGGAGGGUGCAAGCGUUAAUCGGAAUUACUGGGCGUAAAGCGUGCGCAGGCGGUGAUGUAAGACAGAUGUGAAAUCCCCGGGCUCAACCUGGGAACUGCAUUUGUGACUGCAUCGCUGGAGUGCGGCAGAGGGGGAUGGAAUUCCGCGUGUAGCAGUGAAAUGCGUAGAUAUGCGGAGGAACACCGAUGGCGAAGGCAAUCCCCUGGGCCUGCACUGACGCUCAUGCACGAAAGCGUGGGGAGCAAA
rnacentral:rRNA from 1 species